rnacentral:misc_RNA from 1 species
AAUUCUCAAUCUUGCUGGCUUUUGUAAUAGGCCGGUCAGGACUUGGAUUUGUGGGAGUUGCUGGCCUUGGUUCUCUGGGUCAGCUCUUCUUAAAUGCAUUAGCAAGGAUCACCGCUAAAUCUCUUUGGUAUGAUAACUAUCUAUAUCAUUGAGUACUUGUGAUGGAUUCGGCUUCGAAUUGUCUUCUCAAAAAGACACACUGUUUGACCA